rnacentral:rRNA from 1 species
GACGAACGCUGGCGGCGUGCCUAAUACAUGCAAGUAGAACGCUGAAGGAGGAGCUUGCUUCUCCGGAUGAGUUGCGAACGGGUGAGUAACGCGUAGGUAACCUGCCUGGUAGCGGGGGAUAACUAUUGGAAACGAUAGCUAAUACCGCAUAACAGUAGAUGUUGCAUGACAUUUGCUUAAAAGGUGCAAUUGCAUCACUACCAGAUGGACCUGCGUUGUAUUAGCUAGUUGGUGAGGUAACGGCUCACCAAGGCGACGAUACAUAGCCGACCUGAGAGGGUGAUCGGCCACACUGAGACUGAGACACGGCCCAGACUCCUACGGGAGGCAGCAGUAGGGAAUCUUCGGCAAUGGACGGAAGUCUGACCGAGCAACGCCGCGUGAGUGAAGAAGGUUUUCGGAUCGUAAAGCUCUGUUGUAAGAGAAGAACGAGUGUGAGGGUGGAAAGUUCACACUGUGACGGUAUCUUACCAGAAAGGGACGGCUAACUACGUG